UCAUACUUGUCUAACAGGUUUUGGCUUAGGCAAAUUCUUAGGUGUAAGGUUGUGUUUUUUAAGCAUUCUGUGUCCUUUACCGCCUUCACAGACCCGGUCAAGAUUAGCUAAAAGAUCAAAUCUAAAUUUGGUAGAGAAAGCUGUACCUUGAUUUGUGGUUUGGGCGUGAUUUUUCUGGGCAAUCGUUGAACUCAGAGCAAAUCUCGAGUUUCAGAAAUGGUGUGGCUGCGGAACCUUAAUCCAUUCGCUGCAGUCCUCUUUCGUAGGAGGAUCCAGAUCUUCAUCAAUUCUGAUUGGAGCAGAAGCAGAGAAGACGAACUUGCUGUCCAGAGCUUUUUUUUUUUUUUUUUGGAGAAUCCAUUCCCAUCGUUCUUUUCAAGUACAGGUCUCUUCUUUUUUUUUUUUUUUUCACAGUGUUCCUUUCUUUCUAUUUACUGAAGUUUUUGUUUGGCCCUGUAUGCUAUGCUUUGCUUACCGCUUCGACCAGCAGAAGCAUCAAUUAAGCAAGUCCAUUCAGAUUUUGCCAUAUAAGCCCAAAAGACAUUAUAGGUCCAACAUCAAUUUAAUUUGCAAAUAAUUCAUGAUUUCAUCA